CUGGCACGUAGUUAGCCGUGACUUAUUCCUGAAGUACCGUCCUUCCUCGUCCUCCAGAAAGGCUUACAACCAAGGCCUUCAUCGCCCACGCGGCGUUGCUGCAUCAGACUUUCGUCCAUUGUGCAAUAUUCCU
rnacentral:rRNA from 1 species